UACGUAGGGGGCGAGCGUUGUCCGGAGUUACUGGGCGUAAAGCGCACGCAGGCGGUCUGCUAAGUUUGGAGUGACAGUUGGUGGCUUAACUGCCAAAGUGCUUCGAAAACUGAACAGACUUGAGGGCUUCAGAGGGACACGGAAUUCCGGGUGGAGUGGUGAAAUGCGUAGAGAUGUGGAGGAACACCGAUGGCGAAGGCAGCCUCCUGGGCCA
rnacentral:rRNA from 1 species